rnacentral:rRNA from 1 species
UACAGAGGGGGCAAGCGUUGUUCGGAAUUACUGGGCGUAAAGGGCGCGUAGGCGGCCUGUUAAGUCGAACGUGAAAUCCCCGGGCUCAACCCGGGAACUGCGUCCGAUACUGGCAGGCUUGAAUCCGGGAGAGGGAUGCGGAAUUCCAGGUGUAGCGGUGAAAUGCGUAGAUAUCUGGAGGAACACCGGUGGCGAAGGCGGCAUCCUGGACCGGCAUUGAUGCUGAGGCGCGAAAGCCAGGGGAGCAAACAGG